AAUGCCACAACUGCGUGGGGUUCACCAAGUGGACUGCAACAUUCCUAUUGUGCUGAUCCGCUGUGUGGCGCUACAUGCGAUUACCCCACGCCAGAGUAAGAGUUUAACUCAAAGGAAGAUGUAUCUCCAGCUAUUGAAUUGGCAUGACGUCUUUUUACGUCGGCCGCAUUAAAGGUGAUAUAGUUGGUCAUGGAUCUUACUACAUAC
rfam:Ashbya gossypii ATCC 10895 chromosome V, complete sequence.